ensembl:lncRNA
CAGGGUAAUGAUAUCAGUAAUCACACACAGACACAGACACAGACACACACACACAGUCACAGUCACAGACACACACACACACACACACACGGUAAGUGUCUAGGUAUAGGUGUAGGGGCGAUGGUAAGUAUCUAGGGAUAGGUGUAGGGGCGACGGUAAGUAUCUAGGGAUAGGUGUAGGGGCGACGGUAAGUAUCUAGGGAUAGGUGUAGGGGCGAUGGUAAGUGUCUAGGGAUAGGUGUAGGGGCGAUGGUAAGUGUCUAGGGAUAGGUGUAGGGGCGAUGGUAAGUAUCUAGGGAUAGGUGUAGGGGCGACGGUAAGUAUCUAGGGAUAGGUGUAGGGGCGACGGUAAGUGUCUAGGGAUAGGUGUAGGGGUGAAGGUAAGUAUCUAGGGAUAGGUGUAGGGGUGACGGUAAGUGUCUAGGGAUAGGUGUAGGGGCGACGGUAAGUAUCUAGGGAUAGGUGUAGGGGCGACGGUAAGUAUCUAGGGAUAGGUGUAGGGGCGACAGUAAGUAUCUAGGGAUAGGUGUAGGGGCGACAGUAAGUAUCUAGGGAUAGGUGUAGGGGCGAAGGUAAGUAUCUAGGGAUAGGUGUAGGGGUGACGGUAAGUAUCUAGGGAUAGGUGUAGGGGCGACGGUAAGUAUCUAGGGAUAGGUGUAGGGGCGACGGUAAGUGUUUAGGGAUAGGUGUAGGGGCGACGGUAAGUAUCUAGGGAUAGGUGUAGGGGCGACGGUAAGUGUCUAGGGAUAGGUGUAGGGGCGAAGGUAUGUAUCUAGGGAUAGGUGUAGGGGCGACGGUAAGUAUCUAGGGAUAGGUGUAGGGGCGAAGGUAAGUAUCUAGGGAUAGGUGUAGUGGUGACGGUAAGUGUCUAGUUAUAGAGGCUAGGAGAUGUAGUUGAUCUGGGCUUGUGAUGUCACCACAUGGUAAAAAAUACAAGACAGAAUGCGUUUAAAACCUAUAGGUUACACCGCAAGACUAUUGCCUUCCCUCAAGUGAAAUGUCUACAUGUGUAAUUUUAG